GUGUCAGCAGCCGCGGUAACACGUAGGGGGCGAGCGUUGUUCGGAAUUACUGGGCGUAAAGGGCAUGUAGGCGGCCUUGUAAGCCUGGCGUGAAAGUCACCGGCUCAACCGGUGGAUUGCGUCGGGAACUGCAGGGCUUGAGUCACGGAGGGGAAGGUAGAAUUCCUGGUGUAGGGGUGAAAUCUGUAGAGAUCAGGAAGAAUACCAGUGGCGAAGGCGACCUUCUGGCCGAUGACUGACGCUGAGGUGCGAAAGUGUGGGGAUCAAACAGGAUUAGAAACCCGCGUAGUCC
rnacentral:rRNA from 1 species